ensembl:misc_RNA
UGGACAGCCCUGGAGACAGAAGACCUUCAUUUAGCCACAGAACAGACACAGCAAGGGCAAUAGCAGUUAAAGCUUCCAUACAGACCCACAGGGACAACUUUGGGGGUCAGAGUACAGUUCAGUCUAAAUAGCCCCUUUAGUCCUUCCCUGUU